UAAUACGUAGGGUGCAAGCGUUAAUCGGAAUUACUGGGCGUAAAGCGUGCGCAGGCGGUUUUGUAAGUCUGAUGUGAAAUCCCCGGGCUCAACCUGGGAAUUGCAUUGGAGACUGCAAGGCUAGAAUCUGGCAGAGGGGGGUAGAAUUCCACGUGUAGCAGUGAAAUGCGUAGAUAUGUGGAGGAACACCGAUGGCGAAGGCAGCCCCCUGGGUCAAGAUUGACGCUCAUGCACGAAAGCGUGGGGAGCAAACAGGAUUAGAUACCCUGGUAGUCCACGCCCUAAACGAUGUCUACUAGUUGUCGGGUCUUAAUUGACUUGGUAACGCAGCUAACGCGUGAAGUAGACCGCCUGGGGAGUACGGUCGCAAGAUUAAA
rnacentral:rRNA from 1 species